rnacentral:tRNA from 1 species
GGCCUCGUGGCUCAGCUGGUAGAGAGUGCACGGACAAAGCGCAGGUGGCAUCCAUGCAUGGGUUCGAAUCCCACUGAGGCUA